AUUAUUGGAGUAUAAGCUUAGGUCAUGGAUCACUGUAUGGUUUUCUUGAACCUCAGUCUAUACACAACACAAAGAACAGACGUGAAGAAUGUCAACAUUACAUUGAAACAUGGGUCAAGGAAUCACAACCACAAGUCUACUUAGGAGCUUACUUGAAUCAUGCAAUGAAGACAUUAACCACUACUUUGGAAGGAAAGCCAGAUCAAGCUAUACCUCAGUGGAUUGAACCAAAGAGUCAUGUUCAAACUGGAGGCUACGAGUGUGGAUAUUAUGUCAUGCAUUGGAUAUGGUGCAUAGUGAGUGACAGUUUGAAGAAUGAAUGGAAUAAGUGGUUUUAUGAUGGAACACCGUGAGACAAAGAGACCAUGACAACACUUUGCAACAAAUGAGCAACAUAUUUUCUCCAGAUUAAAAACAUGGAAUUUAGAAAAAUUUAGAUGACAUAGGAACAAUUUUGUUUCAAACUAAACAUUUUCAUUGUAUAUUGAUAAUAAACAAUUAUGGUCAGUUGACAUUUAAUUCAGCAAUAAUGUAUAUUUGUUUUAGUAAUACUUG